AUUGAACGCUGGCGGCAUGCCUAACACAUGCAAGUCGAGCGGCAGCAGGGGUCUUUCUCCUUGGUUGCGCGUGGGACGCGUGUGUGAUGUCUAUCAAUCUGUCUCCUAUUGUGGGGUAAAGUCCGGAGACAGCCGCUAUUAUCCCACACGCCCUCAGCGACUAAGUGCGGGAUCCUCUCACCCCUCGCUCUCUGGUGUUGCUAGGUCGGAUUAGCUAGUUGGUGGGGUAAAGGCCUACCAAGGCGACGAUCAGUAUAUGGUCUGAGAGGAUGAUCAGUCACACUGGAAAUGAGACACGGUCCAGACUCCCACGGGAGGCAGCAGUGGGGAAUAUUGGACAAUGGGCGAAAGCCUGAUCCAGCAAUGCCGCGUGUGUGAAGAAGGUCUUCGGAUUGUAAAGCACUUUAGGUUGGGAAGAAGGGCAGGGAGCUAAUACGGUGGGGGUAUGACGGUACCGGAAGAAUAAGCACCGGCUAACUACGUG
rnacentral:rRNA from 1 species